UGGGGAAUAUUGCACAAUGGGGGAAACCCUGAUGCAGCGACGCCGCGUGAACGAAGAAGGUAUUCGUAUCGUAAAGUUCUGUCCUAUGGGAAGAUAAUGACAGUACCAUAGAAGAAAGCUCCGGCUAAAUACGUGCCAGCAGCCGCGGUAAUACGUAUGGAGCGAGCGUUGUCCGGAAUUAUUGGGCGUAAAGGGUACGCAGGCGGUUUAAUAAGUCGAAUGUUAAAGAUCGGGGCUCAACCCCGCAAAGCAUUGGAAACUGAUAAACUUGAGUAGUGGAGAGGAAAGUGGAAUUCCUAGUGUAGUGGUGAAAUACGUAGAUAUUAGGAGGAAUACCAUUAGCGAAGGCGACUUUCUGGACACAAACUGACGCUGAGGUACGAAAGCGUGGGGAGCAAACAGG
rnacentral:rRNA from 1 species